rnacentral:lncRNA from 1 species
AGUUUUCACAACCUGUUCAUCAAACUGGUUCUUCUACAGUGCUCUCGACCGCCAAAGAAAUCUUCACUACACCCACUACUUCUCAAAACUCACAGAUCCCUGCGAAACCAUAAGAAGAAGAAACUCCUCUGCUAACGGAAGCGGUGUUGGAGGCGUGAUCUUUGGCACUCAGACGCUGAAUCUUCUCCAUCUCAUAUUAAUCGGCCCAGUGAUCGAAAACUCUAUCAAAACUUCAUAACUUCCUAUAGGGCAAACUCCCUCUUUCUCACUCGGCCAUGUGGAGAAAUUCGCUGAGUUUUUCAUCCAAACUCGCACACUCCAAUUCAAAUUAUUAACUCCACUCUUGUUCCGCACUUCCUCAAAACCUUCUUAUCGUGGCCUUCCUAGCCGAUCUAAUUCCACAAGCCUACAGUCCACAUUGACAGCCGUUCCGGUAGGUGGUCCGAUUUCAGUGUGGAAGGCUAAGGAUGUGGCAUAAUUGGCCCAGCAUUGCGACUUCUGUUAUUGGGAGCUCUCAAAAGCUCAUCUGAGGUGUGUUUAAACUGGUUUACACCUUUUUUUUUUUUUUCAACAAAUUUCAAUUUUGAGAUGUUGGAAUUUCGUGACCUCAAGCAUAAUGCUUGAAAUGUAGAUCCAUCUUAUUGGAGAAAUUGGUUGGUUUAGAACAUAUUUUAAGCGCAUUUUGCGGUCAAAUUGCUCAAUUUUCUGGUUGCUAAUGGAUUUCUAAUAUUUGUUUUUGCUAAUUGAAACGUGAUAUUAAUGUACUUUGUCAUGUGUAUUUGAGAGCUUCGGCAAUAUGUUCAGAUUUCAAAGAGCAAAUGUAAAAAUAAAAGAAGGCAUAUUGACUGUGAUUACCCUGUAUGUAUGUCUGUUUGCAAUAGUUUUUGUCACUUAAAAUAGAUCAAAGCUACUUUUAUUUGACAUAACUGGAUGAAGAAUUUACAACUUCUGCAUUUGGAGUAGACGCCCUAGAGGGUCAACCCCAGCCAAGUUGGUCGGGCAGUUGGACUAGCAAUCGUGAGGUUGCUAGUUCGAUUCCCGUUGGAGCUGCCUAUUGGCCUUCUUGGUUUGAGCCGGUCAGCUAUGGGUAACCUAGGCUGGUUUACCUCUUUGUGGUCCUUUGUCGGCUAGGAUCACAAGGCGGGGUUUACCUAGUGCGCACCUUUGGGUAGCAGCUGCGGGUUCCCUUGUCAACAAAAAAAGAGAAAGGUAGUAGUUGAUAAUCUGCACAACAUGCUACCUACAAUGCAUAGUUUUGUCCAUUUUCCUCCACUCUACUAUAAUUAAUUAUGAACUUUUUGUGCUUCCAGCCCUCAACUCUACUGCUGCCGCCGGCAGGUCGCCUUGAACAGGCAAGCAAUUUUGAUUUGCAUACACAUGGAAGAAUGUAUUCUUCAUUUGUUUAUUUUUUAUUUUUUUGUAAUAAAAGUGUUAAAAGUGCUGAUUUUAUUUUAUUUUAUUUAUUAUUAUUAUUAUUAUUUUUUUACAUGUUAUCUUGUUAAGUUGAAUUUUCUUCAAUUAACUUUGUGAUGUUAAAUUUCUUAUGUAAUAUGCCAGAAGUCAUAUCCUUAUUGGAACAGGUAAAAAUGGCCGGAGAGUAGAGCUUUCUCGCAAUUCUAGGGGUGAAAGUGGUGGUGGUGGCUAUGGUGGAGGGCAUGGUCAUUCUGGUUCUGACUCGAAAUGCUACGAGUGUGGUGAGCCUGACCAUUAUGCCCGUGAGUGCAGGAACUGUAGAGGUUCUGGAAGGCAUAAGGGUCAUACUCUCCCUAGAUAUUGCUGAAGCCCAAGCUAUAGUAGAAGGUAAUAUAUAUUAGGCUGCUAGGUUUUUGGUUUUUGGGAAAGAAUAAAGAACAAUCUCAACCGUUAUUUUUAACUCAAUGUUUGAAUAACGCUGUUGAUUGAAUCAAGAGUCUCAAUCCUCGCGAUCUUCUCCUCGAUGUCGAAGUUUUUAUCACCUAAGGUCUCGUCUACAGCAGGUCUCUUUACCAUGAAAGCAAUGAAG